rnacentral:lncRNA from 1 species
AUUUUUGCCCUAUUUUGAAUAUUGAGAUUUGAGUUGUUGUUGAGAAAGAUUAUUCAAGUCUUGACUUAAAAUAUGCUUUCAAGUAGUGAAUGAGUUGUAGAAAUAGAUUUAUACACUACUCUUCUUUUGUAUCAAACAUUAAAGAUUGCUAUAUUGAUAGUUAGGUAGAGAAAUCAUUUAACCAUUAAUAUAGUGAUUAUCACAAUAUCAUUUAGAAAUAAAUGAUAUUGAGAGGAUACUUGAAUAUCAUCAAUAAUUUGGAGUCCAUAUAGUUGUCAUUAAAGAAACAUAAGAAAUUUGGAUAGUGAACUCCAAUCUUGCCAAGUCUUUUAUAUUUGAUUAAAACUAUUUUUAUUGUCUUAGUGUCAUUUUACUCAAAAGAUAACUAUUCCAACA